GAUGAACGCUGGCGGCGUGUUUAACACAUGCAAGUCGAACGGUGAAGCAGAGCUUGCUCUGUGGAUCAGUGGCGAACGGGUGAGUAACACGUGAGCAACCUGCCCCUGACUCUGGGAUAAGCGCUGGAAACGGCGUCUAAUACUGGAUAUGAGCUGCGACCGCAUGGUCAGCAGUUGGAAAGAUUUUUCGGUCUGGGAUGGGCUCACGGCCUAUCAGCUUGUUGGUGAGGUAAUGGCUCACCAAGGCGUCGACGGGUAGCCGGCCUGAGAGGGUGACCGGCCACACUGGGACUGAGACACGGCCCAGACUCCUACGGGAGGCAGCAGUGGGGAAUAUUGCACAAUGGGCGAAAGCCUGAUGCAGCAACGCCGCGUGAGGGAUGACGGCCUUCGGGUUGUAAACCUCUUUUAGCAGGGAAGAAGCGAAAGUGACGGUACCUGCAGAAAAAGCGCCGGCUAACUACGUG
rnacentral:rRNA from 1 species